GAUGAACGCUGACAGAAUGCUUAACACAUGCAAGUCAACUGUGGCGGACGGGUGAGUAACGCGUAAAGAACUUCCCUCACGGAUAGGGACAACAAUUGGAAACGACUGCUAAUACCUGAAACUGUGAGAGAGCUUUGCGUCCCAUUAGCUAGUUGGAGAGUUAACGGCUCACCAAGGCGAUGAUGGGUAGCCGGCCUGAGAGGGUGAUCGGCCACAAGGGGACUGGGACACGGACCUUACGCCUACGGGAGGCAGAAGUGGGGAAUAUUGGACAAGGGACCAAAGUCUGAUCCAGCAAUUAUGUGUGCACGAUGAAGUUUUCGGAAUGUAAAGUGCUUUCAGUUGGGAAGCGUUACCAACAGAAGAAGUGACGGCUAAAUACGUGGCAGCAGCCGCGGUAAUAC
rnacentral:rRNA from 1 species